rnacentral:lncRNA from 1 species
GGACCUCCAGUGGUGGCUUCUUAUUUCCCAGUCAACUAUUAUCCCUCACGCUUGUAGUAGUGGCUGUAAAUUGAUCUGCUUCAUCUACAGAAGUGCUAGCUAUCAUUCUUUUGGAUAAGAUCCUCUAUCAUCAAAUGGUGCAUUAUUCUCGGUCUCAACUUAAUGAAAUCAUGUCAUAUCAAUUAUCAAUUAAAAAUUACAUGGACAAGACAUUUAUAAUCUUACUUGUGUGAUUUUUAAUUGAUAUAGUUAUCUCAUUGGUGAGACAGAAAAUGAGACAUCAUUUAUGGACGACAACGGAUCUUGAUCCCAUUUGUGAGGCCAAAGAACCAAUCAAGCAUACAAGACCCUCCUGCAGGACCAUAUUAUUUCUUCUGUGUUCUUGGUUUAAUUUACUUAAUUUGAUUUUGUUCUUAUU